rfam:Picea glauca, whole genome shotgun sequence.
AUGUGGAUGAUGACAGAAAUUCGGAUUCCCACUGAUGUACAAUGUGAUUUCAUAACCAGCUACUUCUGACACAU